UAGGUCCUAAGGAGCAUGUGUCUCAUCA
rnacentral:piRNA from 1 species